rnacentral:rRNA from 1 species
CUCGGCAUACAUGCUGCAUCUGCGUGGUUGGAAUCAUUCAUAGAGUGUAAAGGCAUAAGGGAGCUUGACUGCGAGACCUACAAGUCGAGCAGGGUCGAAAGACGGACUUAGUGAUCCGGUGGUUCCGCAUGGAAGGGCCAUCGCUCAACGGAUAAAAGCUACCCCGGGGAUAACAGGCUUAUCUCCCCCAAGAGUUCACAUCGACGGGGAGGUUUGGCACCUCGAUGUCGGCUCAUCGCAUCCUGGGGCUGUAGUCGGUCCCAAGGGUUGGGCUGUUCGCCCAUUAAAGCGGUACGCUAGCUGGGUUCAGAACGUCGUGAGACAGUUCGGUCCCUAUCCGUCGUGGGCGUAGGAAAUUUGAGAGGAGCUGUCCUUAGUACGAAGGAACCGGGAUAAA